rnacentral:rRNA from 1 species
GAGCACCACAACUGGUGGAGCCUGCGGUUUAAUUGGAUUCAACGCCGGAAAUCUCACCGGAUAGGACAGCGGAAUGAUCGUCAGUCUGAUGGGCUUACGUGACCAGCUGAGAGGAGGUGCAUGGCCGUCGUCAGUUCGUACUGUGAAGCAUCCUGUUAAGUCAGGCAACGAGCGAGACCCACACCAACAAUUGCCAGCAUCAUCUCCGGAUGGAUGGGGACAUUGUUGGGACCGCCUCUGCGAAAGGGGAGGAAGGAAUGGGCAACGGUAGGUCAGCAUGCCCCGAAUUAUCCGGGCUACACGCGGGCUACAAUGGACGGGACAAUGGGUAUCGACACCGAGAGGUGAAGGCAAUCUCCUAACCCCGCCCUUAGUUAGGAUUGCGGGUUGCAACUCACCCGCAUGAAUCUGGAAUCCGUAGUAAUCGCGUUUCAAGAUAGCG